rnacentral:rRNA from 1 species
AGUGAACGCUGGCGGUAGGCCUAACACAUGCAAGUCGAACGGCAGCACAGUAAGAGCUUGCUCUUACGGGUGGCGAGUGGCGGACGGGUGAGGAAUACAUCGGAAUCUACUUUUUUGUGGGGGAUAACGUAGGGAAACUUACGCUAAUACCGCAUACGACCUACGGGUGAAAGCAGGGGAUCUUCGGACCUUGCGCGAUUGAAUGAGCCGAUGUCGGAUUAGCUAGUUGGCGGGGCAAAGGCCCACCAAGGCGACGAUCCGUAGCUGGUCUGAGAGGAUGAUCAGCCACACUGGAACUGAGACACGGUCCAGACUCCUACGGGAGGCAGCAGUGGGGAAUAUUGGACAAUGGGCGCAAGCCUGAUCCAGCCAUACCGCGUGGGUGAAGAAGGCCUUCGGGUUGUAAAGCCCUUUUGUUGGGAAAGAAAAGCAGCAGGUUAAUACCCCGCUGUUCUGACGGUACCCAAAGAAUAAGCACCGGCUAACUUCGUG